rnacentral:rRNA from 1 species
UAAUACAGAGGCCCCAAGCGUUAGGCGGAAUCACUGGGCUUAAAGCGUGUGUAGGCGGGUCGUUAAGUACCUUGUGAAAUCCCACGGCUUAACCGUGGAACCGCUUGGUAUACUGGCGAUCUUGAGCCACCUAGGGGCGAGCGGAACAGAUGGUGGAGCGGUGAAAUGCGUAGAUAUCAUCUGGAACGCCUAUGGUGAAAACAGCUCGCUGGGGGUGUGCUGACGCUGAGACACGAAAGCCAGGGGAGCGAACGGGAUUAGAUACCCCGGUAGUCCUGGCCCUAAACGAUGUCCACUAGAUCGUAGAACCUCUGACGGUGUUACGGUCGAAGCAAAAGUGCUAAGUGGACCGCCUGGGAAGUACGGUCGCAAGGCUA